GUGAAUCAUCAAAUUUUUGAACGCAUAUUACACCAUCUGGUAUUCCGGAGAGUAUGCCUAUUUGAGGGUCAUUUGAAAUAAUAUAAAUUUCGAGAUUUUCUUGCAAUCAAAAAUGGGUCGGUCUAGCUUUCGUGUGGUGGUCGCCUAAAAUGCAAGACAAGCUCAUUUCUUGGGCUCAGUGUUACUUUCAGUUACCUCCUGCCUGCACAAGAAAUCUUCGCGCGGGUU
rnacentral:misc_RNA from 1 species